rnacentral:tmRNA from 1 species
AUGCUUUUAAAUAAAUUUUAAUCGCGUAUACUCACACUGUCGGGGUUCACCGACUAUAGCAAUAAACGGAACGUGGAAUAAGCGUAGCGGACCCGGGGGCAGUACCCGGCGCCUCCACCACCUGCACAAUCCUCUUAAUGGGGGCGAACCAGGAUCGACGCGCGUAAUAAAGACGUUUUUUUUGCUCGGUAUGGUUCCGCCGUUAUCGGGCUUUUAUAAUAGUUGCAAANGACAACUAUGCGGAGGCACGCCUCGCUGCUUAAGCAGCCGGGUAAGCCUAACUAAACUCCAUGUGGUUCGCACCGCAUGGCGGGGUUCGGGGUGCACCUGGCAACAGAAGCACCUCACU